rnacentral:rRNA from 1 species
GACAGAGGAGCCAAGCGUUGUCCGGAUUGACUGGGCGUAAAGCGCACGCAGGCGGAUGCGCGCGUGGGGUGUGAAAUCUGGCCGCUUAACGGCCAGGCGCCAUCCCAUACGGCGCGUCUGGAGUGAUGCAGAGGUCGAUGGAAUUGCCGGUGUAGUGGUGAAAUGCGUAGAGAUCGGCAGGAACACCCAGGGGGAAACCAGUCGACUGGGCAUGAGCUGACGCUCAGGUGCGAAAGCGUGGGGAGCGAACAGG